GCAGUGUGACACUGAACAGGCAGGAAAGCACUGGAAACGUGGCUCUGCUGACCUCUGUUUGCUGUUUCAGGGCAGUGAAGACAUCCUCAGGGUCGUGUCUAUGAACAAAGACUACCACUUUGAGUGCUACCACUGUGAGGAGUGCGGCAAGCAGCUCUCCGAUAAGCCCGGCUCGCAGUGCUUCCCUCUGGACUCCCACCUCCUCUGCCACUCGUGCCAUGUGAACAGAGUGUGCGCCACACAUAACGUCCCCCCUCACAACACACACUGAUCGGCUUCUAUGCAGCUGUAGAUUUAUUUUUAUGUAAAAGCUGGUCUUAAUAUGCUGUCCAUUCCCCUCCCAUUCGCUCUUUCUUUACAACAAACCUGCUGAGAUUGAGAUGUUUUCACACUUCACCUUUAUUUUGUCUGACUUGGAUCAGUUUCUGAUUGCCACAUGUACUGCCUGCUGUACUUCUUGUACUAUUACUGUACAACAGUUAAAAGGGAACAGGAAAACUACUGCUUUUUUAAUUCUUUACCCUAAUGUGGCUACUGUUUGCUGUAGAGAAAUGAGGGAUUUUUUUUUGUUUUUGUACAUACAUUAUUGCUAUCAGAAGUUUUGCACUUAAAUUUGACUUUACUGUAAGAGAUUUGUUACGUGAAUCUGUACAAGUUGGAAAAAACAUUACUGUAAUGAUUAUGUUGUAAUAAAUAUUUUCUCUGCUCACACAGAUUGUGUAGCUAGGUCAAAAUUCAAA